UCCUUGGUGGCCCAGGGGUUAAGACUCUGCAUUCCCAAAGCAGCGGGUCCAGGUUCGAUCCCUGGUCGGGGAA
rnacentral:tRNA from 1 species